GCGGAGGGUGGCCGAGCGGCUGAAGGCAGCGGUCUUGAAAACCGCCGAUGGGAAACCAUCCGAGUUCGAAUCUCUCCUCCUCCGCC
rnacentral:tRNA from 1 species